UUCGUCCUAUUGUCUCUUGCGCGUGUCCAAAUCUUAAACCAAGAUCAUAUUGCGUAUCAUUUUGUCCACAAAGGACAAGGAAGAUUGCAACGCUCUCAUCAACGCAUACACUAUGAGUGUCUUGUAAACCAUACUUUCCUUUAAGUAGCUCACACAGACGUGAAAAUCCCUCUCGACUCAUUCUCACUAGCCUUCGACAUGAACCUUCAUUCUCAUAAAUCUGAUUUCGGAUCAUACACCAUCCUUUACCCUUUUCUUGACUCAUUGGUUCCUUGUAGAAAAAUUUACAGUAAUAGUCCAUUGCAGGAUUGAUGUAAGCAUGGAAUAUCUCAUCUUCUUCUAAUAAUAUCAACUCGGUAAGCUCUUCAUCAGACAAAUUUUCAAUUCCAUUCGAAAAUAAUUCUGCAAUGCAAAGCUCCUGAUAGAAACAAA
rnacentral:lncRNA from 1 species